AAUGGGUAGUGAAGGUUAAAUAAGAUAAUGAACAUGAAAAUCGUGGCCGGCUCUGUGACUUCAUGCCUGUAAUACCAGCACUUUGGGAGGCCAAGACAGGCCCGGGUUGCUUGACCCUAAGAGUGAUGGGCAAUAUAGUGAGACCUGGUCUCUAGAAAAAAUUUAAAACAAAAAUUAGCUGGGCCGGGUGCGGUGACUCACAACUGUAAUCCCAGCACUUUGGGAGGCCGAGGCAGGUGGAUCGCCUGAGGUCAGGAGUUUGUAAUAUAGUGGAAUAAAUCUUGUUGAUUUUGACUUUUUGCUGGUUCUGAAGUCCCAUGAUAGUUAAGUUUGCCAAAGCACAGUUUUGAUUAUCUCUAGAUGUGAGACUGAUGGACACUUUUACAUUACAGCCAAAGAAAUGAGAAUUGGGCCAGGCGAGGUGGCUCACACCUAUAAUCCCAGCACUUUGGGAGGCUGAGGUGGGCAGAUCACUUGAGGUCAGUCAGGAGUUCGAGACCAGCCUGGCCACCAUGGUGAAACCCUGUCUCUACUAAAAAAAAAAUAAACAUUAGCCAGGCGUGGUGGCACACGCUUUUAAUCCCAGCUACUCAGGAGGCUGAGGCAGGAGAAUUGCUUGAUCCUGGUGGGUGGAGGUUGCAGUGAGCUGAGAUUGCGCCACUGCACUCCAGCCUGGGU
rnacentral:lncRNA from 1 species